rnacentral:rRNA from 1 species
AUUGAACGCUGGCGGCAUGCCUUACACAUGCAAGUCGAACGGUAACGCGGGGCAACCUGGCGACGAGUGGCGAACGGGUGAGUAAAGUAUCGGAACGUGCCCAAUAGUGGGGGAUAGCCCGGCGAAAGCCGGAUUAAUACCGCAUGAGACCUGAGGGUGAAAGCGGGGGACUCGCAAGAGCCUCGCGCUGUCGGAGCGGCCGAUAUCAGAUUAGGUAGUUGGUGGGGUAAAGGCCUACCAAGCCGACGAUCUGUAGCUGGUCUGAGAGGACGACCAGCCACACUGGGACUGAGACACGGCCCAGACUCCUACGGGAGGCAGCAGUGGGGAAUUUUGGACAAUGGGCGCAAGCCUGAUCCAGCAAUGCCGCGUGCAGGAUGAAGGCC